CACGUAGUUAGCCGGGGCUUUCUUCUCAGGUACCGUCACCCCGGGAGCAGUUACUCUCCCGAGACUUCUUCCCUGGCAACAGAGCUUUACGAUCCGAAGACCUUCCUCACUCACGCGGCGUUGCUCCGUCAGGCUUUCGCCCAUUGCGGAAGAUUCCCUACUGCUGCCUCCCGUAGGAGUCUGGGCCGUGUCUCAGUCCCAGUGUGGCCGUUCACCCUCUCAGGUCGGCUACGCAUCGUCGCCUUGGUGGGCCGUUACCCCGCCAACCAGCUAAUGCGCCGCAGGCCCAUCCGGAAGCGGCAGGUUGCCCCGCCUUUCCCGAACCCUUCAUGCGAAAGAUCCGCUUAUCCGGUAUUAGCAUCCGUUUCCGGAUGUUACUCCCGGUCUUCCGGGCUAGGUUCGCCCACGUGUUACUCACCCGUCCGCCGCUAAGUUCCGCGUCUUCCACCGAGCUUCCGCCGACGAAACUCCGCUCGACUUGCAUGUAUUAGGCACGCCGCCAGCGUUCGUCCUGAGCCAGAUACAACUCU
rnacentral:rRNA from 1 species